UACGUAGGUGACCAGCGUUGUCCGGAUUUACUGGGCGUAAAGAGCGCGCAGGCGGUCGUUCAAGUCGAGUGUGAAAGCCCCCGGCUCAACUGGGGAGGGUCAUUCGAUACUGAUCGACUCGAAGGCAGGAGAGGGAAGCGGAAUUCCCGGUGUAGUGGUGAAAUGCGUAGAUAUCGGGAGGAAUACCGGUGGCGAAGGCGGCAUCCUGGACCGGCAUUGACGCUGAUGAGCGAAAGCUAGGGGAGCAAACGGG
rnacentral:rRNA from 1 species